rnacentral:rRNA from 1 species
CCUACGGGUGGCAGCAGUGAGGAAUAUUGGUCAAUGGACGAGAGUCUGAACCAGCCAAGUAGCGUGAAGGAUGACUGCCCUAUGGGUUGUAAACUUCUUUUAUAUGGGAAUAAAAUGUUCCACGUGUGGGAUUUUGUCUGUACCAUAUGAAUAAGGAUCGGCUAACUCCGUGCCAGCAGCCGCGGUAAUACGGAGGAUCCGAGCGUUAUCCGGAAUUAUUGGGGUUAAAGGGAGCGUAGGUGGAUUGUUAAGUCAGUUGUGAAAGUUUGCGGCUCAACCGUAAAAUUGCAGUUGAAACUGGCAGUCUUGAGUACAGUAGAGGUGGGCGGAAUUCGUGGUGUAGCGGUGAAAUGCUUAGAUAUCACGAAGAACUCCGAUUGCGGAGGCAGUUCACUGGACUGCAACUGACACUGAGGCUCGAAAGUGUGGGUAUCAAACAGGAUUAGAUACCCUUGUAGUC